rnacentral:rRNA from 1 species
UACGUAGGUGGCAAGCGUUGUCCGGAUUUACUGGGCGUAAAGAGCGCGCAGGCGGUCGGAUCAGUCGAAUGUGAAAGCCCCCGGCUCAACUGGGGAGGGUCAUUCGAUACUGUCCGACUCGAAGGCAGGAGAGGGAAGCGGAAUUCCCGGUGUAGUGGUGAAAUGCGUAGAUAUCGGGAGGAACACCGGUGGCGAAGGCGGCUCUCUGGACCACAACUGACGCUGAGGCGCGAAAGCUAGGGGAGCAAACAGG